GAUCUCAGAUCAGGUGAGGGUA
rnacentral:rRNA from 4 species